rnacentral:rRNA from 1 species
GGGCGCAAGCCUGAACCAGCCAUGCCGCGUGAAGGAUGACGGCCCUAUGGGUUGUAAACUUCUUUUGUACGGGAAAAACCACCGGUCGUGUAUCGGUGCUGAUGGUACCGUAAGAAUAAGCAUCGGCUAACUCCGUGCCAGCAGCCGCGGUAAUACGGAGGAUGCAAGCGUUAUCCGGAUUCAUUGGGUUUAAAGGGUGCGCAGGCGGAGUGAUAAGUCAGUGGUGAAAGCCUACAGCUUAACUGUAGAACUGCCAUUGAUACUGUCAUUCUUGAGUAUUGUUGAGGUAGGCGGAAUGUUUCAUGUAGCGGUGAAAUGCUUAGAUAUGACACAGAACACCGAUCGCGAAGGCAGCUUACCAAGCAAUAACUGACGCUCAUGCACGAAAGCGUGGGGAUCAAACAGGAUUAGAUACCCUGGUAGUCCACGCCGUAAACGAUGAUCACUCGAUGUUGGCGAUACACAGUCAGCGUCUUAGGGAAACUAUUAAGUGAUCCACCUGGGGAGUACGGUCGCAAGAUUGAAACUCAAAGGAAUUGACGGGGGCCCGCACAAGCGGAGGAGCAUGUGGUUUAAUUCGAUGAUACGCGAGGAACCUUACCUGGGCUCGAACGUGGAAUGACAGUCGCGGAAACGUGAUCUUCUUCGGACAUUCUACGAGGUGCUGCAUGGUUGUCGUCAGCUCGUGCCGUGAGGUGUCGGGUUAAGUCCCAUAACGAGCGCACCCCUAUCUUUAGUUGCCAUCAGGUAAUGCUGGGGACUCUAAAGAAACUGCCUACGCAAGUAGUGAGGAAGGCGGGGAUGACGUCAAAUCAGCACGGCCCUUACGUCCAGGGCUACACACGUGCUACAUGGCCGGUACAGAGGGCAGCUACCUGGUGACAGGAUGAAAUCUCCAAAGCCGGUCUCAGUUGGAUCGAAGUCUGAAACUCGACUUCGUGAAGUUGGAUUCGCUAGUAAUCAAGCAUCAGCCAUGGCGCGGUGAAUAC